rnacentral:rRNA from 1 species
GACAGAGGAUGCAAGCGUUAUCCGGAAUGAUUGGGCGUAAAGCGUCUGUAGGUGGCUUUUCAAGUCCGCCGUCAAAUCCCAGGGCUCAACCCUGGACAGGCGGUGGAAACUACCAAGCUGGAGUACGGUAGGGGCAGAGGGAAUUUCCGGUGGAGCGGUGAAAUGCAGUGAGAUCGGGAAGAACACCCGUGGCGAAGGCGGCUCUCUGGGACGGUACUGACGCUGAGACGCGAAAGCGUGGGGAGCGAACAGG